UACGGGAGGCAGCAGUGGGGAAUAUUGCACAAUGGGCGCAAGCCUGAUGCAGCCAUGCCGCGUGUAUGAAGAAGGCCUUCGGGUUGUAAAGUACUUUCAGUCGUGAGGAAGGUGUUAAGGUUAAUAACCUUAGCAAUUGACGUUAGCGACAGAAGAAGCACCGGCUAACUCCGUGCCAGCAGCCGCGGUAAUACGGAGGGUGCGAGCGUUAAUCGGAAUUACUGGGCGUAAAGGGCACGCAGGCGGUUAAUUAAGUUGGAUGUGAAAUCCCCGGGCUUAACCUGGGAAUGGCAUUCAAGACUGGUUAGCUAGAGUCUUGUAGAGGGGGUAGAAUUCCAUGUGUAGCGGUGAAAUGCGUAGAGAUGUGGAGGAAUACCGGUGGCGAAGGCGGCCCCUGGGACAAAGACUGACGCUCAUGUGCGAAAGCGUGGGGAGCGAAAACAGGGAUUAGAUACC
rnacentral:rRNA from 1 species